UAAAUAGUUAACUUUGAAACUGCGAAUGGCUCAUUAUAUCAGUUAUAGUUUAUUUGAUGAAGAAUACUAAUUGGAUAACCGUAGUAAUUCUAGAGCUAAUACAUGUAUAAAGUCUUGUAGACUGCAUUUAUUAGAAUGAAAACCAUAGGUUUCGGCCUAUUCGUGAGUAAUAAUAACUAAUCAUAUCGUAUGCUUAUGUAACGAUGUGUCUUUCAAGUUUCUGCCC
rnacentral:rRNA from 1 species